UCUUCUCGGCACCCGAGCUCUCUCCCUGCGCUGUGCCCGGGGAGGCUCCGCGGCCGCAGCCGCCUUCCCCUCUCGCCAGCAGAGGGCGCCGGAGAGCUGGGGCGCUUGCACCACCUGCGGGCCCCCUUCAAACUUGGGCACACAACAUCAGAGCUGAAAAUACCUUGGGGGAUCAUUGAAGACACCUAGGUCCUGGAGUCGUGGUCAUCAGGAAAAUCACCUGGCACUUCAUGAGAGACACGGAAGAUGUGCGAACCACGGGACCAUCCACCAGCUAGUUCAUGACAUCUUGUUUACCAUAACACUAAAAAGAAAGGGACUCCAAUAGUGUUUUAAGGUUGUUGCGAUGUCCUCUUCAGUCCUUGUCAAAGAGAAAUUCAUGACAGAAGUGCGAACCACAAAGCGAAGAAAGUCGUGGCCCAAAAACAAGUAAGAAAAGUAGGAAGUUAAAUGAGGAGUGACCAACUUUAAUCGGUUCUGUAGCUCCAGGCUUCAAGGAGAAGGAACCCACAGGUGUGCCCAUUGGCCAGGUAAAUAGAUGUUUUGAGUUAUAUACUAGUCUGAUCUGGUGAGAAAUAUACAUGUAGCACCUACACACUGUCAUUUUAGUGGUGGUGACAUCCGAAUUCCUCUGUUGAACGUUUUGUGUCCCUCGGGGGCUUUGACAGUCACAGUCUUAUCUGAGCCUCACAACGACAUCCCUAUGCACCUUGCUUGUCACUUUAUCCAGGAAGGCUUUCUUCCCACCAAGCAUUCACAGGAAUGGCGAACAGGAAGAACCCUUAGCAGUAAAGUCCAGUGAUGCUGCUUGUUCACAGACACAAGCAUUUUCAGCUUGUUCAGGGGCCACUGGCGCAUCCUGCAGAACUUGACAAUAACUUUCCCAGGAUCACUACCUGGAUUCAAACCCAGGUAGCAGUUUGUAGGUGAGAGGUCCCAGUUAGCAUUGUUAAACCAUGCUUUCUGGUCUGUACCCUGGGAAGUUGCAGGACUGUGUCUUUAGAGGUAUUACGACUAAGUGAGUCACGUAAAACAUCUCUUGACUAUUCUCUGGACAUUAACUCCUCAUCUUUUAGCGCAAGUUAUUCAUCGCACAGACAGAUUUUUUUUUUUUACCUUUUCAGGGUUUUUCUUUUAAGUUUCUAGACAGAUAGGAGCCUAUGUACAAGUUAUUAGGGUUCUCCUUUGUUUUCAGAAUUAUUUGUUUAUUUUAUGUAUUUUAUGAGUUCACUGUAGCCGUCUUCAGACACACCAGAAGAGGGCAUCAGAUCCCAUUACAGAUGGUUGUGAGCCACCAUGUGAUUGCUGGGAAUUGAACUCAGGACCUCUAGAAGAUCAGUCAGUGCUCUUAACCACUGAGCCAUCUCUCCAGCCCCAUUAUUUGGGUUCUUGAGGCUAGACCUUGAUGCACACAUGAAAAAUGAACCCAUCCUGAGCUUAUGACACACUGGAUCAGCUCAAACUGGGCCACAGAGGUGUUGGAUACCGUCCUGGAAGGAAGAGAGCCAAGCUGCAGGUAGGGGUUACAUUUUGAUUUUUCUUACCAAUGCCUCUUUUAUAUUUCCACUACAGCGUCACAGAUGUCAUCCUACAAGCAGUAGACUGUGAUGUAGGAGAAUAGUCAUCGGCUGUCUUCGAUGGCACUUUCUAAGCCAUCUGUAAGGUAAGCUGCUUUUCAAGGAAGGCAAUGAACGCCAAGAAGACAAAGGCAGGUGGUGCACGCACAUAACCUCUGACCUUGGGAAGCUAAGGCAGAAGGCUAGAGAGUUUGAGGUCAGCCUGGGCUAUAUAGUCAGUUCCAGAGUAGCCUGGGCUACCCGCAGAGUGAAACUCUUGUCUCAAAUAUAGAAAUCAGAACAAUAACAACAAUAAACAAAGAAAGGGCCAAAGGAGAAUGUAUGUCACCUGUAUGUGCUAAGCUAGUGUCAGAGCCUGUGCUGAUACCAGCUCUUGGCCCCUCCACUCGGCAUCUGUGAGGGCGAGGGCCUUGAGAAGAUGCCAGCCAAGCACACAGGCCAUCCACAUUGGCCUGGGGAAGAAUGUCAUGGUACGUAGUCAGAACAUUUCUUCAAGAGCUGUAGCUAAGACCGUUCAAACACUGUUCCCCUGCAGGCCUGAAACUUGUCUGGCUUGGUGUGCUGGGCUCGGGGAAGGGAGCAUAGGGACAGCCAUAUAUGAAUAGCAAUCUGUGAAAAGUAGACCUGUCCCACCAAAGUCAAGCCUGCCUUUGUGCAGACUGCUGUCUGCCUGGAGGUUUUCAGGACUGAGUUUGCUAAUGGCAGGAAGCUCAGGAGUUCUAGGUUUUUGCUCCUCAGAUGCAUACUCUUCCUACACAACUGCACAACUCAGGCUUGUCCCGCUGAUCUGCCCCAAACAGCUGGCAUGAGAGAACUUGCCCAUAGUCUCUUACCCAGGAGUGUAGUGGAGAUUAAUGGUAGGGACCUCACAUACCUUGGAGAAAACUGUGUGCUUGCUUCUUUUAGUACACAUUUGGCAGUGUUUCCAUACAGACCUGUCAACUGCCCUGAAAUAAACCAGAGAGGGAAGAGUUAUACAAUUUACCAUAUCCUAAGGGGGCUGGGCCGUGAGGGAGCUUGACACUGUGUCGGUUCAGGAGGAACAGGUAUCUUAGCAGCAAGGCUGAAAGUGUCCUGGGAGUCAGUGAGGUAAUUGGCUGUAGAAUAAAGAGGCCUGUGCUCUAAACAUGGGGGCAGGGAGGGAAAAGGAAAGCUAGGCAGAGCACACUCUUUGAAUGGAAGCCGUGGUAGUCAGUUUUUAAGAAUUCCAACAUCUAAUGAGAGCAAAACUAACAUAGAAUUAGAAGUGGAGAGUUGCUAAUGAAGAUCCGUUCCUACAAAGGAUGGAUCACCGCUGUUGGAUAGACGUGUGAACAGUGUGUGCAUACUCUAUAUGUGCAUUCUCCAGAGCCCCUCAGAGAAGCUCAGGCAAGGAAAAAUCAGGACUGAAAAAUGAAGCUGGACAGAUUCUGACCAGUGGACUGUUAGUGCAGAGGUCCCUGCACUGCACCAGAUCAAAACUCAGCUCGUGGACCCUAAAAAGUCAAGUCAGGAUUUUUACAUGAUUAGUUAUAAAAGUCAAGGAAAGGAAACACUUAGAAAUUUGAUUUUUCAUGAAAAUGAGGCCGGGAGGUGGUGGCACGUGCCUGUAAUCCCAGCACUUGGGAGGCAGGCUCUGUGAGAGUCAAGGCUAGCAUGUUUUACAGAAUGAGUUCUAGGUCAGUUAGGACUGUCACACAGAGAAACCCUAUCUCAAAAAAACCAAUAGAUAGAAAGUCUAUUCUAUUUGGGUAGGUGGGUGGGUGGAUGGAUGGAUGGAUGGAUAGACAGACAGACAGACGACAGGGCUGAAGAGAAAAUGACAUGGCUCUUGAGAUAAAGGCAUUUGCUCUUCAAGCCUGGAGAUCUGAGUUUGUUCCCCAGAACCCACGUAAAGGUGCAAAGAGAGAACCCACUCCACAAAGUUGUCUACUGACCCCCACCCACACAGAGACAUGGUAAUAAUAAAUAAAUUUUAAUUUAAAAAUAAUGGAACACACACACACUGGUCUCCCUGAACUGUAGUAAGAAGAAUGAGCUAGCUCUAAGGUAGAGGCUCUUUCACAGCAACAAGACAGAAUUCAAGGAAGUAAAAUGUUAAGCUCACCACGUACUUCGAGCUAUUGGCAUAGGAUGAGGUGUCCCUAGACUAAGCCCAUUGCCCUAAGAGCUAUCUUUCAGUUUCAGUUUUGAUUGACAUGCAGCCAGGUCUGCUUAGAGAAUUGGGGUCACGCCUUAAAAGUGUGAAAGUGUUCCUGUCUGUGCGCCAUUGUGACGGAUUGCUCGGGGCAAGAACAUCCAGAACACACUUAAUACUGAAGCUCUGGUCUCGGGUGUGUUCAUUCUCUCUGCACUAAGCCAGCCUUGGUUUAAACUUGCCCGGGGCUCUGAAAGUUUACUGAAGCCCGAAGCCUGGAAUCUUCUCCAAAAACAGGAAAUAGGUGCCAGCUUCCUCUGUCCAUGAUAGAACCAAUUUGUGGCCAAAUAUGAAGUAAAAUGUUAAAAAGAUGAAUUAGGCCUCUAGAAAAAAACAUUAAUUUGUAAACAUCAAAUAAACAAACAAAUGAAUAAAUAAAUAAAUAAAUAAAAAGAGAAAGCAAUCAUGCCUUGGUUUUCAGAAUAUUAAAAACAGUGUGUUGAUACUUGUUCUUGAAUGUAUCCAUUCACAUGCACACACACACACACACACACACACACACACACACACAUACAUGUAUACACACAUGCGCAUAUACUCCGUACAGUCUCAGGUCUAGUAGCCCAAAGCUGCUUCCACAGGAAGAUCUCCUUGAAGAUGAAGGAGUCGACAGUCUCUCUGGCCUGUUGGAGCUAUAAGGUCAGGUCUAGGAGUUUGGGCUCGAGAAGUAUGUUCUCACUACUCCAGACUGUAACUCUUUUCUCCACUAAUAUUGGGUACAGGAUGCAUAGGGUGAGGGUGAACCUUCUAUCUUGCUGUCACCAUAAGUAUAAACAAGGAGCCAAGAGUAGAGACAUGCAGUGAAGUCCGCGAGUUUCUAGAAACCAGCAUUAGCAUCAACCAGGAUCUGCUAUGCUAAGACUAACACCACCGUUCCCUUCUUACAGCGUUGACCUCCUUCAUGUUCUUUCAAUAAUGAAAGAAAGGAUUUAACACUUAUCGAGCCCUACGAGAUUCUUGAAGUAUCAAAUCAAUUGGCUUGGUAAUAAGAACACUGACAAAGUUUCCUUAUCGGAGGGGUUGAGAGAGUAUUAGUAGACUGCUUGCCCAGUGUGCAUGAAGUCUCAGGUUUAAUCCUUCACACUGCAGAAACCAACCACUGUUGCCCACAUCUGAAAUCCACACAUGAGCAAGGCAGGAGGAGCAGGCAUUCGAGGUCAUCCUUGGCUAUAAGACAAGUUCAAGGCCAGCCUGGACUCCACGAGAACCUAUUUCAAACUAAACAACACAAAACUUUUCUGAUGUGAGCCAACAUAUUCAUCCCCCCUCCCCCUACCACCACCAUGUUUCCAGAGAUUGAACCCAGGACCUUGCUCAUGUAGACAAGCAUUUUACCACAGAGCUACAUUACUAGUCCACCAAGACAUCUGUGGUAGACUAAGUAUAACUACAGGAGUUGGAGAGGUAGCUCAGCCUUUAAGAGCGAUUGCUGUUCACUCGUGAGGACCAGAGUUUCAAACACAAGCACAAGUGGCUCACAAGCACCUAUAACCCCGAGGAACCUUAUGUCCUCUUGUGGUCUCCACAGGAAACCAUACACACGUGUGACUAUACAUUCACUCUGAAAUAUAGGUAUAUAGUAUUAAUUUUAUAUAUGUAUACUACAGUAUGCAUAGUUACUGCAAAGUAAAAUACUGUUUCCUCCCGGAUAUGGAAUUAUUACUUCCUUUGAAAAAAACAAACAAGAGUGCUUAGAAAACUGGCAUGGUGGAUGGGAAGACUUGCCCUACAACUCAGAUCAGCACAGGCUUAAAUUUUAGUUCUGCGUCCUACUCUGUGCUGCCCUGAUCACCUUGAUUAAGCUUCCGGGGCUUGGUUUAUCCACAAAUACAAAUCCGCUGUCCAGCUCAGCAUUGUUGAAAAGACUAAAGAGGGUGCAUAUUAAUCCCGUGAUACCGGAGUUUAUAGUAAAACCUAAUCUUUAUCAUGUUUUCAGCCCACCUGUUGCACGUAAUCUCUUCCCACAGGAAUUUGCUCUGGCAAAUAUAUGGCUUUGGACAGGGCGUCUCUGUCACAGCACUGCCUAAUCUGAGUAGCAGAAUUGACACUGAUGUCAUUAAGACUACGCUUUAUCAGAUCACACGAAAUUACUAUGGCCCUAAGUAAGUUGAGCACAGUAACGGUUACUAGAAAAUAGAAUGCAAUGCCUCCCCUUUGAGAACAGCUGUGCUUCUGGGCUCUGUCUGCCGGAGUUCUGCUUAUUACAAAUCAAAUCAUGGUUCAGGGAAUGCUAGUUAAACCCAUCUGCAACCAGCCCAGUGUCUCCAGGGUCAAGGUUUGAACCUAGAACCUCACCCAUGGCUAGCCAAGAGCACUACCCAGGAGCUCCAGCUUCAGCUCCGGCCCUAGGAAAUUCUUUUCAGAUCUACCCACUAAUGGUUUCUGCAUUAUUUUAGCUUUGGGGAGGGAGUGAUGGAGGAUUAAGGCCUGGGCCUUAUGCAUGCUGUCUACCUGCUCCACUUCUGGGCUGUGUCCAACAGCGGAGCACAAAUGCUUGGAAGACCCAUAGAACAUUAAGGCAAGGUAAAGGGCCUGACGGGGGGGGGGGGGGGUCCUCUGCCUUCCAGACAAGCCCUUGUGCUUAAAGGAAACGUAGAAGCUGGGAUUGUUGGCUCGGGUUUGGAAUCUCAGCUCUUCUGGGGAUUGAGCCAGAAGGAUUAUAACUCCAAGACCAGCUUGGGCUGCUGACUGAGUUCAAGGCCAGCCUGGGAACUUAGUGUCUCCCUAUAAAAAGUAAAAAAGAAGGCUGUAGAUUGACCCCACUGCCAAGGCACUACAAUCUAACAUACACACAGCUCUAGGUUCAACCCCUCUCCGGUACCUCCAAACAAGCCAGGAUAAUGUUUUAAAGCAUAGCAGUUCACACCGUGUAGAAAAAAUCUUAGUGUUCAUAUCAAAGGUUGUCUUGUGGAGUACCAGACUUUAAGCAAAAUGGAGGCCUGCUCAUGACAUAAUGCUAAGAAUGCCACAUUCCUUCAAGCCGUUAAGAGGGGAUAAUAAUUUUAGAAGGAUUUGGCACGAAGAAGAGCAACAACGAAUAGUUCUGGAGGACUUGGUGAUGUAGAAACGAAUCUGUGUGCUUUGCAAGUCUUACCUCAUUUAAUCCUGGUUGCAAUCUUAUAUCCCUGGCUCGAUUACUUCCGGCAAGUCAGAGGUGAGGGAACUGAGGCUGUGGUUUUAAUUAAAUGUCUGAGACAGGGAGCUGGGAAGAGGAUGUGGGAUCUACACACUGUGAUCUCAGCCCUACCCUAAAGUACUUCUGGGAAAAUGAGCCGAGAGGUGCUUUGCUCAUAUAUUCCCUGUUUGCCUUGCGGGGGGGAGGGGGGUGGCGGGGAAAUGUCCAGUGUUAUGACCAGAAGUCUGAGAAUCUGUCCCUUCUCCUGUGACUCUGUAUUAUACGCCUGGUCUAGUCAAUUUCUCACCUGUGUGUCCCACCUCUCUUUGAAGCAAAGCUGAGCUGCAUCUAGGGGGCUGGCCCUCCCAGGGGGCUGGCCUUCCCAGGGGCUGGCCCUCUGAGAAAGGCAACCUGAUUGGCUCAGGGGUAGGUUUCCGUGCACUGGAACUGCAGGGGCUUUGGCCAGGGACCCUCCCUGUCCCAUCCUCGCCCCCCAAAAAGACACUGACAGACCUAGAACUCUCCCCAAAACAGAGAGAUUAUAAAAGCAGUCGGGACAGCAUUUUUGUAGAAAGAAAGACACGGAAAAUUUUUUUCUUGAACAUCUCAGAGUCUGGGGUGUUCCGUUAGAAUCUCUUCUGCUCAGGAGCAGAUGCUUGAAAAUUCAUAAAGGAGGGCGAGCAAUCAAACAUCAAACUUGAGUAUAGAUGGUUACCUUGACACACAGUCUAACACAGCCCACACACGCACAUACACACUCUCGCAUGCGUGCUCGUGCACACACGAGUGCUUUCUCUCCUUUCAUCUAUCUCCAUCCCCAUAAGCCCACCCUCAAGAACACACAUCCCCCAACUCUUUGCAGUGGAUGGUUUGAGACCCCUUUCAUUGGCCUCCUCCAGUCCUCGUCUUUACCAGCAGUGCAGAAUCCCAAAGGACUGCCAGAUAAAAUAACCUGACUUCAUUAACUCCACCCGUUGGCGCUCGCCGGUCUUUGCUUGCAGGAUCAGGGGAGAGCUUACCUUCUUUCUGCUUCAGAGAUGUUUAGACCUGAGUGUGUCUCUCGGAGGCGUUUACUGUUUCAAACCUCUGUGAGCAUCGCGAUCAUUAAUCAGAGAGAGCGAGCUGAGCCCUGUGGAAGCUUCUUUGUGCUCCAACAUUUAUCUAUGGUAUAAUUAUAAUGAACCUAAAAGUCAUGCAUAUGCAAUUUGACAUGGAUUUGGCUCUAGUGUCUGCACAUAAGCACAGAAGACUGAUGGGCCCUGACCCUGGAUGUCAGUAACCCACCACUGAACCCUCCCCGUGUCCCAUUCCCAAGCAGAUCCAGCUCAAGCUGCCGUCACCCUUUGGACAGUGGUUCCUCAUGUCCGUUGGGGUCUUUCCUCUCCUCAUCUGUUUGUGUCUCUGCCCAUUUUCCAUCAUUGAUCAUCCUAGCUGUUAUCCCUUGUGUGGCUAGAUACUCUUGAAUCUUCUAGCUCUAACGUUUACUAUUUUUGUUGUUUUCUGAUCUUUUUCCUUCUGCUACUUUUCCCUGAAACACACUCCACCACUGCUACCACCCAACGAGCUUCUCUCUCCAAAUCACUAGUGAUGAACUAGGGGACAAUAUUUCCUAGCAGUGGAGAUCGGAUGAUCUCUGGAGGCAUCUGUUGCCGUCCUACAGGGAUAGGAAAGAUGCUUUUCUGUCAGGCAUCUUGUAGGUAGAAAUAGGAUGUUCAUGGUCUCCAGCUGUACCCAGAGCUGCCCCUUCCACACACACUGAGGAAGCUGCUAUAUGAUGUCAGUGGAGCUGAGGAAUCCUUUAAUCACCCGCUCCUCUGCCACUAUAUUCUUAUCUCCUGUUUCUGAUUCCCAGGUCUUUAAGGCUUUUCUUUGCAAGCCCUCCCUCUUAUCUCUGCUCCUGUUUAUCUGGCUCCUUUCCCUCCUGUCUAUCUUCUAGCCCCUGUCUCCCUCAGGUCCCCUUCUUGGUCUGAUCACCCCUCUGAGGUUUCUCCUUGUCUUUCUUGCCUUGGUUUUCAAGGCUUAGUUCAGCAACUCCCUUAUCUCUCUGCUGUCCUGGAGUGACCUCGGGAGCAGAGAAAAUAUUUUUCUUAGAACUCUGUUUAUUUUCCAAGUUUUCACAAAUCCAAAGCAGCCCACAAGCUCCGUGCUUCUGGUUUCGAAGUCUCAAACACCUCCCCUGGGCCUGACCUGUGCAGCUGUCCUAGCCCUGGACUCUGAUCCCCACUCCUUCUCGCCCCCUUGAUCCUUUCAGCUGUCUCUCCUCUGCUCACCUGCUGCUGGCCCCAGAGGCUGCUCCGUCUUCUUUAUGAUGUCAGUGGACAUGUGUGGUUUGCACCGAUUGACAUGGUGGUAUGAUCUCUUCUCCCACUGGGAGGCAGGGAAGCAAUAGCUUUCCCCCUGCCUUCAUUCAUUCUUUAGGAAAAGUGAAGAAGGUUGACCAGAUGCUCAGCACAGCUCAGUGUUGUAGUGACUGAAGGGAGUGAGAGAGAAAACAGUUUCUUGCUCAUUCUAAGUCUUCAUUGUCAACUUGACUGACUCUGGAGUCACCUGGGAGAUACAUUUUUUUUUUCAAUGAUGUUUCACAGAGAAGAACCACCCUGAGUGUGUGUGGCAAUAAAAGGGGGGGAUGGGAGGAAUCUGCCGAGUUGGGGCAUUCACCCAUCUCUGCUUGCUGACUGGAGACACCAUGUGACUGUCACCCUUUGUGCUCUGGGUACCACACCUUUCCUGCCGUGAUGCUUCGUACCUCAAAUACGAUAAACGAAACAACAAAAUAAACCCUUUCUUCCUUGAGUUGCUUUUGUUAAAUCAUGCCUUCCAUGGCAACCAGAAAAGGAAACUAAUAUGGAAAAUUGGACCGAAAAUUCUAGUAGAGAGAAAAAUCACAGAAAGUAACCAUGGCCACAUCAGUGCUGUCUGCAAGAGGUGAGGGAUAUGGAGCUAGGAAAAGAAAACCUCCUCUCUCUUACUUAAGUUUCAUGGUGCUGGGAAGUGCUAUGCUUGCUACCAUAGGGGAAAAGUAAUCACCAGUCUUACCCAACCAUGAACUUCAAGAGCUACUACAAUGACUGGCCCGGCAAGACAUGCUCACUGGCGCAAAUAGUGACACAAAUGUUGUGAGAGUAAACUACUUCCUGAUUAGACUUCUAGCCCACUUCAUACAAUGAAAUCCAUUGCUGAGACCAAUAUUAGGGCAAAAACGUGUGGCUAAACAGGUCAAAUACCCUAGCGAGGGAAAUAGUAACUAGAAAGAAAACUACUUUUAUUCUGCUAAAUAGACAUAGUAUAAAUCAAUUCCUUAUGGCUUGUCAUACCCAUAGAUUAAUACAUCUCUCAACCCUGACCAGAGGUUCUUCUAUUAGCAAUAGUUGAUGAUUAACACAGAGACCAGCAACUGGCCAAGGUUCAGAGGAAAGAGACUUCAGAACGUUCAGCCCUAAACAGAACACAUAUACCAUACCCCAUGCUUCCAAAGGCUCAGGGAUCAUUUCGAAAGAGAGAAUGGAAAGAGUGUGAGAGCCAGAGUGUAGAUGACUACAGGGGGAAAGUGUCUUCUGGACACAGCAAAUGAUCUUUGCAUAUGAAUUCACAGUGGUUGUGAUGAUAAGCCCAAGACUUGUGCGAGUCAGAUCAAAGCAGCAUGGAGAGGAGACAGGGCUUGAAGUCCCACUCCUAGGUAAGGAGCUAGCUUUUGCUAGCUGCUGGGAAAGGGAAAGUUAGUUUUUGUUAAGAAUGUGUAGCCCCUGCUAAGUUAACCACUCUCCAGUAGAAGGCCAUGCAUCCAAGAAUACUUGGGCAGCACAAAGUGGCCUUGGUAGAAAAAAGGGACAGGGAGUUGGGUGAAAGAAGAAGAGAGGGAUCUGGAAAGCAUUUGUGGAAGAAGCUCAAUGAAGAUACAUUGUAUAGAGUUCUCCAAGAACUAAUAGAAGGGUAUAAAAAUGAAACAAGUUACAACCAGCUUAGCAUGUAAUUAAGCAAAAUGGUUAGUUUACAGUUCUGCAAGUCAGCAGUCCAAAAUCAGUCUCAUAGGGCUAAAAUCAAGGCAUCACAGAACCAGUUCCUCCUGCAGGCUCUGGAGAAGAACCGUGGCCUCAGAAGAGUGUUUGUAAUCCAUGGCUCCUGCCUCCAUCUUUAGACGCAGCUACAGAAUAUUUUAGCUCAUCUGCCAUUUUCUUCAUUGGAUCCCUUUCUUGGCCUCCGUAUUUCCUUCCCUCUUGUUAGAAUGUUUAGAAUGACAAUGGUCCUAUCCAUGAUCCAGAAUGAUCUCCCCCACUGAAGCUUCUUGCCUUGGGGAUGUCUAGAGUCCGUUUGCUAACAAUGUGACAUAUUGGCAUGUUGUGGGGAGCUAUGCAUACCUAUUUAGAAGAUGGGAUUCAGCCUACCCCACACUUCUCAUUGGUUAGGAUAAGAAAGCAGCUUCAAAGAGUUGGUGAGCCCAGUAGAGGCUGAAAAAUAAGAUGUGCAAAGACAUGAUUCCAAGUCUGGCAAAGGCUGAGCCCCAGCUUGUUGUGGUAAGAACAUAGGGUGUGUCUGGACAGGGGUGGGGUGACGAAUGCCUAGUUGUAAAGAGACAUCUGAAACCUCUCUUGCAGACAGUAGGCAUGUCGGAUUGUUCUAGACAGACUUUGGGAGAUUCUCUAGCGCUGAACCAUGCAGACAUGCGCUAGGUAGUCUGAAACACUGGCAACUCAGAACACACAGUGAGGCCAGUCCACAGCGACAGGUGUGCACCGGCAAGACUCUUAGAACUUAACCUAGAAAAAUCCAUGCGCUAUCUAAUUAAAUUGUUACGUGGCUGAUACUUUGGAUAACAUCUGAUUCAACCAUUUGUUCAGAUUAACUUUACCUGCUUGUGUGGUGAGGCUCAUGCUAUAUUUCCUUUGUCCUACUGACCACAAGGCUGAAGGGGAAAAUAUAUUGUGGGGUUAAAACUAUAGAACAGGCUGGACAAGAAGUGAUUUGGACUAGUGCUAUGUCCAGUUAUAGAGGAUGAGAGGGGACCUAGAUAUUUUGGGGGUCAUGAAGAGGUCUAGGUGACUGAUGGACCAAAUAAGAGAAAGGCAAGGAGAGAGAAAGACACUUGCCCAGCCUUCCAUGACAGGGUACAGGGUGGGAAAGACAAGUUCCUUUUAGGUAGAGCGGCAUCUACUCCCGAGGCCUCUGUGGAGAUAGAGCCAAUGGCCUUCGAGCCCUGUAUUCAUCCCGCCCCAUUGUGCAGCUUUUCCCAUCUGAUCUGGCUUUUCAUUAUUAGAGCCUGGCGCACAUGUCCCUCGGGUGGCGCACUGGCUAGGUUUAUGUCAACUUGGUACAAGCUAGAGUCAUAGAGAGGAAGAACCCUCAAUUGAGAAACUGUCUUCAUAAGAUCCAGAUGUAAGGCAUUUGUCUUUCUUUCUUUCUCUCUCUCUUUCUUUCUUUCUUUCUUUCUUUCUUUCUUUCUUUCUUUCUUCCUUUCUUCCUUCCUUCCUUCCUUUCUCUUUCUUUCAUUUUCUUUUUAUUGAUUCUUUGUGAAUUUUACAUCAUGCACCCCAAGCCCAUUCAUCUCCUCUUCAUACCUGUCCUCUGCCUUUUCAACCUCCCCCAUCCCACCAAAAGAAAAAAAAAUCUUGUGGAAGCUGCAGUGUGUCACAGUGUGACCCACAGUGUACGGUUUUUGUCCACACUGCUUUACUUGCAAAUGAUCGUUGCAAUGAGUCAUUGGUCUGGUUCAAUGCCUCUGGCUUCUGCUACACUAUCAAUGCUAGAUCCUCACCAGGAUAUCCUCUUGCUGCCCUGUGCCAUGGAGAUCCUGCAGCUUUAGAUCUGCAGAACCAGCCCCUUCCCAAACUCCAGAAGUAGAUGGACCCGGGUAGAUGUUGGGGUGAACCAAUUCAAAACCCUGGAUUUGGGUGGGUGAUAGCUGAGCUGGUCAGUCCACCAGCUGUUCCAUGGGGCAAGAUGUCCAGCUCUGCCCAGGCUCACCCAACGCCACAGCCAGCAAGGGGCAGAGCCAGCUCUUCUACUCUCAUCCCAUGCCAGCAGGGCCAGCUCUGUUGUGCUGCCUAGAGGGGCAGGGACAGUUCCGCUCUCAUGACCUCGUGGCCAGCUCUCCCACCUGCCAUACGUAAGGAGAGCAUCUCUCCAUCAGCCAAACUAGGCUGAGCAAGCCACAAGUAGCAAGCUAGUAAGCCACUCCCCCUCCAUGACCUCUGCAUCAGCUCCUGCCUCCAGCUUCCUGCCCUAAAUGAGUUUCUGCCUUCACUGCUUUUGAUGAUGAACUGUGAGCAAAAUAAACCCUUUCCUCCCCAAA